AGUGAACGCUGGCGGUAGGCCUAACACAUGCAAGUCGAACGGCAGCACAGUAAGAGCUUGCUCUUACGGGUGGCGAGUGGCGGACGGGUGAGGAAUACAUCGGAAUCUACUUUUUCGUGGGGGAUAACGUAGGUAAACUUACGCUAAUACCGCAUACGACCUACGGGUGAAAGCAGGGGAUCUUCGGACCUUGCGCGAUUGAAUGAGCCGAUGUCGGAUUAGCUAGUUGGCGGGGUAAAGGCCCACCAAGGCGACGAUCCGUAGCUGGUCUGAGAGGAUGAUCAGCCACACUGGAACUGGGACACGGUCCAGACUCCUACGGGAGGCAGCAGUGGGGAAUAUUGGACAAUGGGCGCAAGCCUGAUCCAGCCAGCCCGCGUGGGUGACGAAGGCCUUCGGGUUGUGAAGCCCUUUUGUUGGGAAAGAAAAGCAGCAGGCUAAUACCAAGCUGUUGUGACGGUACCCAAAGAAUAAGCACCGGCUAACUUCGUG
rnacentral:rRNA from 1 species